CCUACGGGAGGCAGCAGUGAGGAAUAUUGGUCAAUGGACGAGAGUCUGAACCAGCCAAGUAGCGUGAAGGAUGACUGCCCUAUGGGUUGUAAACUUCUUUUAUAUGGGAAUAAAAUGUUCCACGUGUGGGAUUUUGUAUGUACCAUAUGAAUAAGGAUCGGCUAACUCCGUGCCAGCAGCCGCGGUAAUACGGAGGAUCUGAGCGUUAUCCGGAUUUAUUGGGUUUAAAGGGAGCGUAGGUGGAUUGUUAAGUCAGUUGUGAAAGUUUGCGGCUCAACCGUAAAAUUGCAGUUGAAACUGGCAGUCUUGAGUACAGUAGAGGUGGGCGGAAUUCGUGGUGUAGCGGUGAAAUGCUUAGAUAUCACGAAGAACUCCGAUUGCCAAGGCAGUUCACUGGACUGCAACUGACACUGAGGCUCGAAAGUGUGGGUAUCAAACAGGAUUAGAUACCCUUGUAGUC
rnacentral:rRNA from 1 species